UACGUAGGGUGCGAGCGUUAAUCGGAAUUACUGGGCGUAAAGCGUGCGCAGGCGGACUGUUAAGCAAGAUGUGAAAUCCCCGGGCUUAACCUGGGAAUGGCAUUUUGAACUGGCAGUCUAGAGUGUGUCAGAGGGGGGUGGAAUUCCACGUGUAGCAGUGAAAUGCGUAGAUAUGUGGAGGAACACCGAUGGCGAAGGCAGCCCCCUGGGAUAACACUGACGCUCAUGUACGAAAGCGUGGGUAGCAAACAGG
rnacentral:rRNA from 1 species